rnacentral:misc_RNA from 1 species
UCUUGAGAGUAUACGCCGUAGAAAUGUGGUCCUUAUCUGUUUUCUUUAUUCUUGCGAUCGGGUACGUGAGUUGUGAACAAAGAUGCCAUGGGUCGCCAAGAAUGUACAACGGAAAGCGAUGUGCUUCGACCACCCGAUACAACGACUACACUUCGUCACUGCCCCCAAUCAGAUGUUUUUUGAUGAAGGAAACAGUGGCUGGUGUGGUCAGCGAUGCGGAAAAUGUGUCAAGCUGACCACUACAGGCGGUUACGUUCCCGGACAAGGAGGCCCGACCCCCGCCGGCAUGUCCCGCGUGUUCAUGGUUACUAACCUGUGCCCCAACGUCUACCCCAACCAGAACUGGUGCAACCAGGGCACCGGGCCAAACGGGAACGGUCAUAACGACUUCGGAUACGUCGCCCAUUUUGAUUUGGAAAAUGGCGCCAGUCAGAUCUCGCACCUUGGUUGGAACAACCCGGAAGUGACGUGGGAGAUCGUCGGUUGUCAUGGAUCGAACACCCCUACGGAUGGAAUGUACCAACAAUGCCAGUGUGCUCAUCACGGCAAACGUUCCCUCAACGAAACGACGAACGGCUCGGAAAAUUGAUUCUGUAAUGCUGAUCUUUAAUAAAAAAUAUAAUACACU